rnacentral:rRNA from 1 species
AUUGAACGCUGGCGGCAUGCCUAACACAUGCAAGUCGAGCGGAGCGGCGGACGAGCGAGUAAUGCCUAGGAAUCUGCCUGGCAGUGGGGGAUAGCGUCCGGAAACGGGCGCUAAUACCGCAUCCUAUCAGCUGAGCCUAGGUCGGAUUAGCUAGUUGUUGGGGUAAAGGCCUACCAAGGCGACGAUCCGUAACUGGUCUGAGAGGAUGUUCAGUCCCACUGGAAUUGAAACACGGUCCAGACUCCUACGGGAGGCAGCAGUGGGGAAUGUUGGACAAUGGGCGAAAGCCUGAUCCAGCCAUGCCGCGUGUGUGAAGAAGGUCUUCGGAUUGUAAAGCACUUUAAGUUGGGAGGCGUUACCAACAGAAUAAGCACCGGCUAACUUCGUGCCAGCAGCCGCGGUAAUUC